AAGGAAUAUUGGUCAAUGGACGCAAGUCUGAACCAGCCAUGCCGCGUGAAGGAUGAAGGUCCUCUGGAUUGUAAACUUCUUUUAUCUGGGACGAAAACGGGAUUUUUAUCUCAAUUGACGGUACCAGAGGAAUAAGCACCGGCUAACUACGUGCCAGCAGCCGCGGUAAUACGUAGGGUGCGAGCGUUAAUCGGAAUUACUGGGCGUAAAGCGUGCGCAGGCGGCUCUGUAAGACAGAUGUGAAAUCCCCGGGCUCAACCUGGGAACUGCAUUUGUGACUGCAAGGCUAGAGUGCGUCAGAGGGAGGUGGAAUUCCGCGUGUAGCAGUGAAAUGCGUAGAGAUGCGGAGGAACACCGAUGGCGAAGGCAGCCUCCUGGGAUGACACUGACGCUCAUGCACAAAAGCGUGGGGAGCAAACA
rnacentral:rRNA from 1 species